AGUCCACUAAAACACUGAAAAAAACACAUAAAACGAUACAGAGAAUAUUAGCAUGACCUUGUACAAGAAUGACACGCACAACUCGAGAAAUGGUCCAAGUAACA